GAGCCGGUGGUGAAACCGGAUACCCCACUCCCGACCCGUCGCACCUUGCAGGGAGCCGACAAGACUAGGGAGAGAUGCAGGUUCGAAUCCUGCCCGGCUCGCCA
rnacentral:tRNA from 1 species